CCCUAUCUGACACCCCUCAAGCACUUGAAACUCUUGCCAGGAACCCCAUUAAGCAAUACUGAAGUGGAGGCCGAAGAUAAGAUGUUGUAGAUCCAAUUUAUGUAGGUGUUGUUGAAACCUUUAGCUUGGAGUAUUUGCAGGAUUGCUUGGUGUUCCACUAGAUCAAAAGCCUUUUCAAAGUCUAUUUUGAGGAUGAUAAUCUCUUUUUUGGACUGAUUGCAUUGAUGGAUAUAUUCAAAACUCCAAGCUAGACAGUCUUGGAUAGACCUGUUUUUGAUGAAGCCAUAUUGGUUGUCAUGAAUGAGUUUUAGAAUCACCCCUUGGAUUACUAGGAUCUUUGUGAUAAAUUUCAGAGAUGAGCUUUGAAGAUCUAUUGGUCUAAAGUCAUUGGCAGUUUCAGGUGACAAUUUCUUGGGAAUCAGAGUUAUGAAGGAGUGAUUGACAUUUUCUAGAGAUAUAUUGUUGCUGAAAAACUGAUAGGCUAGCUCAUAGAAAUCCUGCUUUAUGAUAUCCCAGCAUUUGUUCAAAAAUAACCCAUUAAAUCCAUCUGGUCCAGGGGCUCUAUCAGUCGGCAUAUUUUUUUUAUUAUUUUGUCCAGUUCCUCUACUGAUGGGAUCUCACUAAUCUGCUCCAGUCCUUCCACGUUUUGGAUCAGUUCAGGGAGGUUUAAAACCAUUUGCAUUGUGCCCUUAGUUCCCAUCCUGUUUUUUUAUGAAGUGAAAAGCACCUGGGCUUUUUCCUCAUGUGUGGUUGCAGUGCCUCCAUUAUCCAAUUUUAGGUGGGAGAUUUUGUUUCUUCUGAGGCUAUCAGUGGCUGCUGCUUGGAAGUACUUAGGGUUCUCAUCUCCAAAUUUUACCCACCUAAUUGUGCAUCUCUUUUUCCAAAAUUCAUUCUUAUACGAUAACAGCUUGAGAAUGAUCCUUGAGUAUUAGUCUGAAAUUCCAUUCUUGUAAAACCAGAGGUCUUUGCUCUUCUAGGUUGUCAAUAAAGGAUAGUGUAUCAUUGCAGUUGGAGAUCAAGGAGUGAAGGAAUGGACCAACAAUGCUGCACAACAUCUGAAAAGCCUGGGACAUUGACCCAAAAGUUCUCAAACCUGAAGAUAGAAGAUUUUGGCACUGAAGUCUCAAUUGAAAUUUGACAGGGCACAUGAUCUGAGAUGUACUUUGAGGUUGCUGUGACCAUGGUGUGAGGGAACUUAAGAGUCCAAGCUAUUGAGGUAAAAACCCAAUCCAGUUAUUGCAGAAGAGGCUGCUCUUGCAUAUUGCUCCAGGUGAAGUUUCUUCCUUUGAGAGGGAUUUCUACUAAGCCUGCAUUGCUGAUUAUUUCAUUAAAGAUGAGAAUGUCAUUCAUGUCUCCUCCUAGGAUGUUUCUGUUCUCAACAGACCUUAUAAAAUUGAAAUCCCCCAUUAUAAUCC